ACAACUUUSAGCAACGGAUCUCUUGGCUCUCGCAUCGAUGAAGAACGCAGCGAAAUGCGAUAAGUAAUGUGAAUUGCAGAAUUCAGUGAAUCAUCGAAUCUUUGAACGCACCUUGCGCUCCUUGGUAUUCCGAGGAGCAUGCCUGUUUGAGUGUCAUUA
rnacentral:rRNA from 1 species